ACAUGAUUACAACAUAGCGUUGAUGCACUCAAUCCCAUUAGAAAUUUAUAGUGAAGUAUGCUCGGGCUAGAGUAGUACUGGGAUGGUGAUUGCCCGGGAAUUGCUAGUAUUUUACAUGCC
rfam:Picea glauca, whole genome shotgun sequence.